rnacentral:rRNA from 1 species
GGAAUUACUGGGCGUAAAGCGCAUGCAGGCGGCUUGUUAAGCCAGAUGUGAAAGCCCGGGGCUCAACCUCGGAAUCGCAUUUGGAACUGGCAGGCUAGAGUCUUGUAGAGGGGGGUAGAAUUUCAGGUGUAGCGGUGAAAUGCGUAGAGAUCUGAAGGAAUACCGGUGGCGAACACGGCCCCCUGGACAAAGACUGACGCUCA